AAAAUAGAGGCAGAAGUGUUCUGUAUUUUACAGAUACUUUAUUAGGCUGAUUGCAAUUCAUUUAGAAAGACUUUUGAGAUGCAAAGCAACAGGAGGACAUUUGUCUUUAAGGGUGUCUGUUUAACGUUUUUUUUUUUUUUUGGUGAAAAUCAGCUCAUCUGGCAUUAUUUUAAGGAAAACUUUGUGAGAAGAGCUUAUGAUGAGAAAACGCUACCAUGCAGUGGCCAUUUAAGACUGACCUUCUGUACAUCAGUUGGCAGUUCACUUGUAUCAAGUUCCUUUCACUUGUGAGGGCUUUGUGUGGAAUGAGC
rnacentral:lncRNA from 1 species